UACAGAGGUCCCGAGCGUUGGUCGGAUUCACUGGGCGUAAAGGGUGCGUAGGUGGUGGGGUAAGUCGGAUGUGAAAGCUCGGAGCUCAACUCCGAAAUGGCAUUGGAAACUACCCUGCUGGAGGUUUGGAGGGGGGACUGGAAUACUUGGUGUAGCAGUGAAAUGCGUAGAUAUCAAGUGGAACACCAGUGGCGAAGGCGAGUCCCUGGACAAAACCUGACACUGAGGCACGAAAGCUAGGGGAGCAAACAGG
rnacentral:rRNA from 1 species